rnacentral:rRNA from 1 species
UUUAAAAUUGAGAGUUUGAUCCUGGCUCAGGACGAACGCUGGCGGCGUGCUUAACACAUGCAAGUCGAGCGAUGAAGCUUCCUUCGGGAGGUGGAUUAGCGGCGGACGGGUGAGUAACACGUGGGUAACCUGCCUCAAAGUGGGGGAUAGCCUUCCGAAAGGAAGAUUAAUACCGCAUAAUAUAAGAGAAUCGCAUGAUUUUCUUAUCAAAGAUUUAUUGCUUUGAGAUGGACCCGCGGCGCAUUAGCUAGUUGGUAAGGUAACGGCUUACCAAGGCAACGAUGCGUAGCCGACCUGAGAGGGUGAUCGGCCACAUUGGAACUGAGACACGGUCCAGACUCCUACGGGAGGCAGCAGUGGGGAAUAUUGCGCAAUGGGGGAAACCCUGACGCAGCAACGCCGCGUGGGUGAUGAAGGUCUUCGGAUUGUAAAGCCCUGUUUUCUGGGACGAUAAUGACGGUACCAGAGGAGGAAGCCACG